AUUUGCGUUAUUAAAAUUUGAUUUUACAAUAAAUAUAAAAACUUUUCAGUCUUCUAUAGUGAACAAGUGUGUUACUGUGUAUAUAAUAUUUUCAUUUUAGGUAAAGCCGGUAGAUAUCAUCAUUUAUUUCAGUUCAGUCUAGUGAUAUUGAAAGUUAUGCAAGGAUGGAAGACUUCGAAAAAUGACGAAUAACAAUCGUGUGCAUAUAAUAUGUCCAAAUGGCAAGACUGAGUUUAGUAGAAUACUUGGGGUAUCUUAAAGGUACAAACAUUUCUAGAGGUGUUUAUGAAGGUGAAGAAGUUUUAAAUGCUGGUCACAUAAUAAAAAUGUUACAUGUUAUUUGCAUGACUAAUAAACUUCAGUUGAAAUUUUUUUUUACUUA